rnacentral:rRNA from 1 species
AACUAUGGCCAUGCUACCCUGAACAAGCCCGAUCCCAUCUAUCUCAGAAGCUAAGCAGGGUCGGGCCUGGUUAGUACUUGGAUGGGAGACCACCUAGGAAGACUAGCUGCUAUAGGCG